UAUAAAACUCAUCUUCAUGAA
rnacentral:piRNA from 1 species